rnacentral:rRNA from 1 species
UACGUAGGGUGCGAGCGUUUGUCCGGAAUUAUUGGGCGUAAAGGGCUCGUAGGCGGUUUGUUGCGUCGGGAGUGAAAACACUGGGCUUAACCGAGUGCUUGCUUUCGAUACGGGCAGACUUGAGGCAUUGAGGGGAGAACGGAAUUCCUGGUGUAGCGGUGAAAUGCGCAGAUAUCAGAGGAACACCGGUGGCGAAGGCGGUUCUCUGGCAAUGUUCUGACGCUGAGGAGCGAAAGUGUGGGGAGCGAACAGG